GACGGAGGAUGCAAGCGUUAUCCGGAAUUAUUGGGCGUAAAGCGUGUGCAGGUGGCAGUUCAAGUCUGCUGUCAAAGACCGGGGCUUAACUUCGGAAAGGCAGUGGAAACUGAACAGCUAGAGUAUGGUAGGGGCAGAGGGAAUUCCUGGUGUAGCGGUGAAAUGCGUAGAGAUCAGGAAGAACAUCGGUGGCGAAGGCGCUCUGCUGGACCAUAACUGACACUCAGGGACGAAAGCGAGGGGAGCGAAUGGG
rnacentral:rRNA from 1 species